CCACACAAGCAACAGUCAACACAACUGCUAAGGGGGAGUUGGCCCCUGCCAAGACUGAGUGACAAAUGGUUGAAACUAGCCACAACAAUGCAUUUCAGCAAAGUUACCUUAAACUAGACAGAAAUACUGUCAUUGAUAGUAGCUUGCCUAAAUUCCAAGACAGCCACAGCAAACAAAGACUCAGCAAACAAAUGGAAGCUACAGGAGAGUUAGGAUUUUUGGCUCCCACUGGCGUGAUGUCACAGUGGCUAAGGCAGGGAUGUACUGUGACCUGAAUUUGAGGCCAAAUCAACAGAGAGGACAACAACAGAAAGCAAACACAGGUUCCAAGACAGCUCAGGAGUGGCAUCGGUACAAGUCUCUGAAUGUACUUGAGUGGCCCAGCCAAAGUCCGAUCGAAGAUCUCUGGAGAGACCUGAAAAUAGUGGUGCAGCAACACUCCCCAUCCAACCUGACAGAGCUUUAGAGGAUCUGCAAAGAAAAAUGGGAGAAACUUCCCAAAUACAGGUGUGCCAAGCUAAUAGCAUAUCCAAGAAUACUCUAUGCUGUAAUCGCUGCCAAAGGUGAUUCCACAAAGUACUGAGCAAAGGGUCUGAAUACUUACGGAAAUUUGUUAUUUCAGUUUUUUUUAUACAAAUUUGCAAACAUUUCUAAAAAACUGUUUUUCCUUUGUCAUUAUGGGGUAUUGUGUGUAGAUUGAUGAGGGGGGAAAAAACAAUUUAAUACAUUUUAGAAUAAGGGUGUAACGUAAAAAACUGUGGGAAAAGUCAUGGGGUUUGAAUACUUUCCAACUGUAUAUUGCAUACUGAACAACAACUGAGUAAAAAUAGAAUUCUCACAAUGUAAAUGUCAAUUGUAUUUCAAAACUUUCUAAGAAUGUCAAAAACAUACAUUGAAAAUUAUGGAAAUAAGAUUCAUUGUCAAUAUGAUGUUUGUAUUGCUCAGGAACAGACAGACAAGUUCUCACUCAUGACAGCUGUCAAAGUCCUGGAGGCAACGCCCACUAAUCUGAAGAGCGCUUGUGAUUUUUGUGAUUGGUCACAUAUGGACCAAUCCCUGAAGCUGUUCAGGCACAAUUUCUAUAGUUUGGGCCACUCACAUGGCAGCACUGUUGUUGUUUGGAUUGUGUAACGUGUGCUGCACGUGUUUGACAAUGCGCGGAGCAGAAGGAGGGAAAGAGAAAGAACAGAGAGAAAAAAAAGACAAUGUGUAGCUGUAGAAAGAAUUUCAUAACCGAAACUUGUAUG